GACGUAGGGCGCGAGCGUUGUCCGGAUUUAUUGGGCGUAAAGAGCUCGUAGGCGGCUCGUUGCGUCGGCUGUGAAAACCCGCAGCUCAACUGUGGGCUUGCAGCUGAUACGGGCGGGCUGGAGUUCGGUAGGGGAGACUGGAAUUCCUGGUGUAGCGGUGGAAUGCGCAGAUAUCAGGAGGAACACCGAUGGCGAAGGCAGAUCUCUGGGCCGUAACUGACGCUGAGGAGCGAAAGCGUGGGGAGCAAACAGG
rnacentral:rRNA from 1 species